rnacentral:rRNA from 1 species
UCUUCGGCAAUGGACGAAAGUCUGACCGAGCAACGCCGCGUGAGUGAAGAAGGUUCUCGGAUCGUAAAACUCUGUUGUUAGAGAAGAACGACGAGGAGAGUGGAAAGCUCCUCGUGUGACGGUAUCUAACCAGAAAGGGACCGCUAACUACGUGCCAGCGUCCGCUGUAAUACGUAGGUCCCGAUCGUUGUCCGGAUUUAUUGGGCGUAAAGCGAGCGCAGGUGGUUUAUUAAGUAUGGUGUAAAAGGCAGUGGCUCAACCAUUGUAUGCAUUGGAAACUGGUAGACUUGAGUGCAGGAGAGGAGAGUGGAAUUCCAUGUGUAGCGGUGAAAUGCGUAGAUAUAUGGAGGAACACCGGUGGCGAAAGCGGCUCUCUGGCCUGUAACUGACACUGAGGCUCGAAAGCGUGGGGAGCAAACAGG